GCUCAACCGAAGAAGUGCAUCGGAAACUGGGAAACUUGAGUGCAGAAGAGGACAGUGGAACUCCAUGUGUAGCGGUGAAAUGCGUAGAUAUAUGGAAGAACACCAGUGGCGAAGGCGGCUUUCUGGUCUGUAACUGACGCUGAGAUUCGAAAGCAUGGGUAGCAAACAGGAUUAGAUACCCUGGUAGUCCAUGCCGUAAACGAUGAGUGCUAAGUGUUGGAGGGUUUCCGCCCUUCAGUGCUGCAGCUAACGCAUUAAGCACUCCGCCUGGGGAGUACGAUCGCAAGAUUGAAACUCGAAGGAAUUGACGGGGGCCCGCACAAGCGGUGGAGCAUGUGGUUUAAUUCGAAGCAACGCGAAGAACCUUACCAGGUCUUGACAUACCAUGAAAAGCUAAGAGAUUAGUCUUUCCCUUCGGGGACAUGGAUACAGGUGGUGCAUGGUUGUCGUCAGCUCGUGUCGUGAGAUGUUGGGUUAAGUCCCGCAACGAGCGCAACCCUUAUUAUCAGUUGCCAGCAUUCAGUUGGGCACUCUGGUGAGACUGCCGGUGAUAAACCGGAGGAAGGUGGGGACGACGUCAAAUCAUCAUGCCCCUUAUGACCUGGGCUACACACGUGCUACAAUGGUCGGUACAACG
rnacentral:rRNA from 1 species